GGACAACAGAGGCUAUUGUUGUGUAGGAUAAACUCUUCUCCUCAGAGGCAAGACGUGAGAAGAGAGAUGGGGGUUUCCUCUGUGCUUCUCUGCCAGGGCUGUGCCCCAUGGCAGGGGAUUCUGCUCACAGUCUUCCUUUGGAACUGCGGGCACCUUGUUGCCUCUGGCCGACCCAGUAUUGAAACACUGCCACCGAUUGUUCAAGAUGGGAAGGAUGUUGUUCUACAGGUUCGCAAUCUCCCAGAGAAUCUUCUAGGCUUUGCAUGGUUCAAAGGGAUGACCCAGGCCACAACACAUCUAAUUGGUCGAUACAUAAUAGAAGAAAAUCCAAGUUUUUCAUUUGGACCUGCAAGCAGUGGUAGAGAGAAAUUGUAUACU
rnacentral:lncRNA from 1 species